CCCAUGCGUAACAGACAGAACCUGGCAAUCUCUGGGUCGGGGCAGGUUUCUAGGGAGCCUCAGGGACACCCCCAGGAAUUCUAGGGCUCCGGGGAAGAUAAUCAGAAGAACUUGAUCUAGAGGAGUGACAGAGGGAACUUCCUGCAAGCAAUACCCUGGAAGAGACUGAGGCAGAGAGGGAAGAAACAGAUUGAUGAAGGAGCCACAAAUGAGUCAUUGUUCGAGGCUGGGACGUGAAGAUUUUAUAAGAAAAGCCGGUGGGCUCCCAGACAAAGUUAAAAAGCUGCAAGUGUCCCCCACGAACUUCUGGAUCUCCUGUAUCCCCAGCAGACCCUCACCUCCCUGCCUCUGAGGUCAGAGGCCACCUUGAACAGUGGGUCCAAGGUAAGUACACACCUGUGCCCCUUGCAAGCCUGCCUCCCUGGAAUUAAGCAUUGCCAGGCAUGCAAGGCAAAACA